rnacentral:sRNA from 1 species
AUAUUAUCACCUUGGAGGAUGUUCAGCUAAAAGUAAAAACCUACUUGCUUGGAACUGAUUUGUCUAUAUUCAAAUAUGAUGAUUUCAUCUUUGUUUUGGAUAUAAUCAGCAGGUAGUAUUUAAGAUCUUGUCUUAUUCUUUAGUUUGAGUCAUUCAACCAUGAUAAAUCAUGAGCUAGUGAGUUAUCAUCUAUAACUUCUUUAUGGAAAUGAAGAUAAUUUUUGCUGCUAAGUUUGUUGAUGCAAGUUGGAGAAGAAUUUUGUGGUAGCAAGUCUGAAGUUUUACAGGAAUCUAUUAGAAAACAAAGUGUCAAUUAUUUCAAGAAUUACCAUAGAACACGGCUCGAUGAACUGAGAAUGUUCUUAGAGAAUGAGACUUGGGAACUUUGUCCUGUUAAGUCAAAUUUCAGCAUCUUGCAACUUCAUGAAUUUAAAUUCAUGGAACAGUCUCGCUCCCCAUCAGUUUCACCUAGUAAACAGCCAGUCUCAACUUCUUCAAAAACAG